UUUUCUUUCAUCUUAUGGCUGUGCUUGGGUGUUGUUACACGUUUGAUUUUGUCUCUUUCUUUGUGUUGUCGUCUUAUGAGUUAUGAGAGCAGUUUCUACACGUCUUCUUCGUGUAGCUUUUGACUUCUGCAGUAUUCCCCGCUGUUCAUGCACUCGAUCUUUCGCUUCCGUUCUCAACUUUUGGGUUUUCGUCUUUCAAGCUUCAAUACGGGUGUGCGGCGGGGGAAGUUGUGUGUUGGCGUCGUCUUCACCAGUUUAUAGUCCGUCGUGCGUGCCCUUCAUUUAUCCUCUUUGCAGGUCUAUGGUCUGAUCUUGAUCACCUCCUCAGAUUCGUCGUCUUGCUUCCGAAGCUUACUCACCUCCGCAGUUUCGUUGUCUUCGUCGUUAUCAUCAGGUUAUUGGGCUAUUUUUUGCUUCGAUUGGGAAAGUCUUGCUAUUUAUUUGUUCAGAUCUCUAUUUUUACGAGGAAUCAUGGCGAAGGAUCCCGGUCUCGACUCUAACAUCGGCAAGAUAACCUGGGGUUUGUCCCUCACUUUCUUUCUAAAUUCGUUAGUGUUUGGACUCAUGGGCAUCUUGGCCGCAGAAUCUCAAGAAUGAAUUUUUAAUGGUAUUCAACAUCUGAAGAACGCUAUCAGUUGCUAUGUAUUUGCAAAAUCUCUGAGGUCAUCUGUAUCAAUUAGUUAUGGUGAGGUUCGUGCGCUCUCUUCCGUGCUCUUUCUCCCUAACUUCUCAGAAUUUCUCUUUUUUUUUUCUUGCGACUUACCAAAUUACAGGUUCUACUUACAGGUAAGAUGGACAUGGUUUGCUCUUUCUUGAUUAUCACCUGAUGCUUAUGUUAUUAUGCUUUAACUGAAAAUAGUUAUUGUCUCUUUGAUUAUCACCUGAUGCUUUUUGAAGAAAGAACUUUCUUAAAGUAUAAAAUAUAGGGCCCUAUGAUUUAGUUUGUGCCUCUUGCCAUACCAUUCUCUUGAAAUUUUUUGCUUGAUAAUUAAGAGUAGUAAGUUCUGUUUUUCCAUGCUUCUGGUAUCAUUAGUGCCAUUCGUUGUGGCAAAUAUAACAAAUGAGGAGCUCAAAUGCCUAAUUCAAACAUCUGAAGAACUACAUGAGUAGAAAGAGGCUUUGAAAAGAAGUUUGGAGCUCGACACGACUAGGAACAAAACUCUUGCACAAGAUUGUCGUUAAUUCAGUAUCUGUAAUAUUCAUUGGAAGAAAGAGAGGAGAUUGAGAAAUUCAAUGAGAGGAGGUUGACAAUACCUUGGCAUCACUCUUUCUUGCUGAAGUUGCCACUCCCUUCCUCUGCAACAUCAAAGGAACCAUUUAAUCCCAUGCCUUUUGGCUUUUUUUUAAGAUUCUCUUAGGUGUUAGGCCUUUGUUCCUGCCAUUGUUGAAGGUUUCCCCCUGAAGUGUACAUUUUGCUUCUAAUUUUUCUUUCGUUUCCAGCUUUGGUUGUAGCUACUUUAAAACACAUCCAUAAAUGACAAAUAUUAAAACCAUCACCCGAAAGAUCUAAAAUGAAAAAUGACAACCCUUAAAAAGCACAGUCCACUACAUCUCAGCAAGGUCAACACACAGUAGUUUAACCCGAAACACAGUUCAAGACUAACCCCAAACACAGUUCUACACCCGCAAAAACAAACCAGCCGCAACGCGUGGGUACUAUCAUUCUUCCUACACACAAAUAUCUUGUGGAAAUGAAGCUCUUAUUGCGUAUCCGGCCUUAUAACUGUUGCCAUGUUGAGAUAUUUUCGUAAUUUGAUGUUUGUGUUUUUUCGUAAUUAUUUUAGGAUUGUAGCCGAUUUAGUUGUCAUUAUCUUUUGAUUUUGAAGAAAGAUAUUGAAAACCUCAUAGUUAGGGGUUAGCAUCGAGUCAGAUCGAUCCGAAAAUAGAAGGCAACUCUGGAUUUACUAUUCGGGUUUCAGGCUGGGCCUGGGCUUGUCUUGGGAAGAAAAUAAAAGCCCAGGCCUGGAUUGAGCCCAAAUGAGUCAGGCUUUGGGUUGGGCUUCGGCCCAAUGAUUCUUCACUCUUUCUUUUUCACACUUGCUUACACUAUGACAUGUAUAUAGUCUGUAAGCAGUGGGAAUGGAUGAUGCGUGGGUCAGUGUGUGGGUAUAUAUAGUCUGUGAUAGUCUCUUUGUGUGUGUAAAUGUAUAGUCUGUGUGUGUAUGUAUAUAUAUGAUAUGCUUAUAUAUGAUAUAUGCAGUAUACUUACAGUAUAUAUAUGUGGUGUGUGUGUAUAUAUAUAUAUCUAAUAUUACUAAUCUAUUGGGCCAUAGGUCAGGCUUUGGGCUGGGCUUGGCCCGAGUUUAGUCCAUGUAGUUAAGCUUCGGGAUUGGCAAGGAUUUGGCCUACGGGCUCAGGCCGGUCCUAAGCCCGCGAGCCGUUUGGUGACUCCUACCCAUAGUUUCUUUCAAAUAUGAUGGAUUGUAUUGUUUACUUUCUUGAUUAAACAUUGGCUUAAUCUUUGUUUGUUGUUUUUGUCUGCGUCACAAGUUCUAACAUGGGAAGCUUAAACUUGACUAUUGGCUAGGUCCUCAAGGCCGUUUGUGAGUUUAUUAUGACUUCACUAAUCAUUGCCAUUGUUGUACCCAGAAAGAAAAUAUUAAUUAAAUCAGUACUUUUUUUUCUUUGUUUUGUAUAUAUAUAAUUAAAUUGACUUGAGAAAAACCUUUUGAUUGGGGAAAAAAAUAAAUUAAAGACGAAUAAAAAGAACGCACGAGACUCGCAGAGGUUCGCAAGAAUGAUAAAGAGGGAAUUCCGAACAAUGUUUUUUACCACUUCAAUCUCUUGAAAAUUGAAUGGAAAUAUGAAACGCAACUUCUUCGCGGUAACUUUAAUACCAAAUACCAACAUUAAUUGCUUGAUAUGCAAGUUUCAUCACUCUAUAUAUAUUGUCCAGUUUGAUCACAAACAUCUUUGCCAAUUGCAAGCUUAGGGUUCCUAGCUAGCAUUCUAUAAUACUUGCACAAGUUUCAAUUGUCGUUUUUUUUGGUUGUGAAAUGGCCCUAAUUAGUAAGAGAUUAUACUGGAAAAAGACUUCGAGGAGGUAUUCUGGUUCCAUGCGAAGGAGACUUCUACGGGUUGAUACUAGCGUGGAAGCGAGGAUAGCAAGAUUGAAGAAGGAGGUGGCAGAGAUCGGGGAGGAACAAAGAUGCAUAAGAGAAGGGCAAAGGGAAGUGAAAAAGAAGAUUGAAAUAAUCAAAAGCAAUUGUGCACAACUUAGAAGAGAAACUCAGCUAAUGUGCAUGCAAAGCACCAUCUUCAACCGUAAACUCAAUAUUAUGCUUCAAAUCAUGCAUGCAAGAAAAUGUGGCGACCACGAUAAAGCACAGAAGCUAACUCAAUUCCUCUUCGAUGAUCGUUUCUCUUAAAAGGGGUUCAUGCAUGCAUGGUGGAUUGGUUGAAAAUGAUCCAGUCAAUAAAUUCUCGAGGUCUGGCUAGAACUAUGUUGGGAGUUAAUUAAGCUCAUAAUGUGUGUGUGUGUGUAUAUAUAUGUGUGUGUGUGUGGAAUGUGGGAAAGUUGCAUGGUUUGUGAUCGUUGUUAUUAUUAUUUUUGUUAUUGAAUUUUAUCAUUCAUUUUCAUUAAAGAACACUUUCGACCAUUAAAUAGAAUUAAGUUUACGUACCGCGCGUUGAACUUGUCCUCA